UUUUUACAGUAGAGAAAGUAAUGUUGAUUUCGGUUACCUUACUUGAAAUUUUGAAAUGUUUAUGUCAGGAACUAGUUACAUUUCCUGUAAGUCAUUUCACGUCAUCUUUAAAAUACCAGUUAAUUUAAACAAACCUAGACAGUACACUCUGUGACCUCCCAGUCUCUUCAAUAGUUUUCUCAGAAUGACUCUGCAAAAACGUAACUAAACUUACACUGCACUCUGUCUUAGGCAAAACUUUUAAUUAACUAAUGAGCUUUGCAUAUGUUAGAACUAUGAGAACAGAAUUCAUUUCUUUUAUACAGGUAUGUUAAUUAAAAGUUCUAUUUAAUUGAAAGUUCACAAUUAUUUUGACCAUCACACGAAAGCGUAGUCAAUUUUAAAAGGUGUUGUGAUCUAGAACCUGACCAGAAGUGAACUUUUCUUGGCAUAACAUUUACUGCUACUGACUUGAAAUCAUAGCUCAUGUCUACUUCCUGUUUCUAAAAUGAAACGUUUUUCUUAAGUAAUUAAUAAUACUUUAUUAUAAGCAAUUAAUUAAAUGGUUAAAUAAAUAUUAAGAAUAAAUAAUUAAUAGAAUACAACAUAAAUGUUUCAGAAUAAUCAAUACUAAAGAAGAAAAGAAAGCCAAAGCAAAAGCAAAAAAUAAAAACACCCCACCACCCCACUCUGAAAACCCUACAAAAAACAGUAUCCCAGAAAAUCACAUUAGAAGGAGGAAAUAAAAAGAUAAGUUCUUACAGCAGUUUGUGGUGACUGAUGGGCCAUUUAAAUGCUAAUUCAUAUUUAUUUAAACUAGAUUUGCUCAUGUCCCAUCAAUACUGGACUCUGUUCCUGCAGUGCAUCUCUUUCUUUUCCUCAGGUGUAACAGAGGUAACACUGUUCCGAGAUAAAUGCUGUGUUUGUCAAACAACUUGGAAAAAAAGAUAUUUAAUGUACUUGUGUGUAUGGGAACAGUUGAAUCACAGCCUGAACCUCUGACUGACCACCUGAGGCAAGCACUGAGUCAGCCAUGGGAGCGCAGGUGAAGGCAAUUCAUCCUGUGUGACCAGAAGAGGUAGAGCCAGGCUCCAACUCUCCUCGAACCUGUUUAAGGGCUGACUGCCACUAAGGAAGGAUCUCUUUUUGGACAUCACUUCUUGUGGGAUUUCUUGUGAGCCUACAACACUGCUCUAGGAAGACAGUAUAUGCUGGCUGACAAGAAUGAAUGAAUCAGAGAAUCACAGAAUCAUUUGAGAUGGAAGAUAUCUCCAAAGGCCAUCUAGUCCAACUACCCCAAAAUGAACACCAACAUCUACAGCAGAUUAGGUGCUCAGAACCAUCCAGCCUGACCUUGAGCAUCUCCAGGGUCAGGGCAUCCACCACAUCUCUGGGUAACCUGUUCCUGUGCCUUACCACCCUUACUGUAAAAAACGUCUUCCUUACAUCCAAUCUAAAUCUCCCCCCUUUUAGUUUGAAACCAUUUCCCCUUUUCCUAUUACUACAAACCUGGAUAACGAGUCUGUCCCUUUCUUUAUUAUAGCCCCCAUUUAGAUACUGAAAGGCUGCUCUCAGGUCUCUCCAGCAGCUUCUUCUCUCCAGUCUGAACAGCCCCAGCUCUCUCAGUCUGUCCUCAUAGGGAGAUACUCCAUCCAUUCCUUGGAGUAGCUGUGGGGGAAAAAUAUUUUUAAUACCUCCAUAAUUUUCUUUCAUGUUGAAAAUAAAUGCUCAAUUUUUAA